rnacentral:rRNA from 1 species
CAGCAGCCGCGGUAACACGUAGGGUGCGAGCGUUAAUCGGAAUUACUGGGCGUAAAGCGUGCGCAGGCGGUUUUGUAAGACAGGCGUGAAAUCCCCGGGCUCAACCUGGGAAUGGCGCUUGUGACUGCAAAGCUAGAGUGCGGCAGAGGGGGAUGGAAUUCCGCGUGUAGCAGUGAAAUGCGUAGAUAUGCGGAGGAACACCGAUGGCGAAGGCAAUCCCCUGGGCCUGCACUGACGCUCAUGCACGAAAGCGUGGGGAGCAAACAGGAUUAGAUACCCGCGUAGUCCCUGUCUCUUAUAC